rnacentral:tRNA from 1 species
AUUGAUAUGGCAGAUUAGUGCGCUGAAUUUAAAAUUCAAUUAUAAAGAUUUUUUUUCUUUUAUUAAUA